rfam:Langat virus strain TP21 polyprotein gene, complete cds
CCCUUGCGUCCAGAGAAGGCCGAACUGGGCGUUAUAAGGAGG